rnacentral:lncRNA from 1 species
UUUUUUGCUUUCAUGGAGCAAACAGAAAGAAUAUUACUAAGUAUAUGAAGACUUAGGAUGCUAUAGUAAACCCUGGAGACACUCAAUAAUCUUAACAGCUGGCCCAAUGUAUUUAUGAUAAAGUUAACUUAGUUUACAAGUAAACCAGUAGAGUUAAUUCAAAAUACAAAGCAAUCAAAACUAUAACCUUUUUGGCUUUAUAAAUCAUUAUUCAAUUUUAUAAAAUAUGAAAAAUAUGUAUGCUCUAAACCAAUGAUUUUCAAAGGACCGCCUGCAUGAAAUUCAAAGGAUGCUUAUGAAAAUUUAGAUUCCUGGGACCCUGACUGGACUUUCUGAAUGCAGUGUCAUAGAAUAUGCAUUUUCAAAGAGCUCCCCAGAUGCUUGACAUGCAAGUAAGUACCAUCAACUUAGACAGUAGCAGAAUGUGUGCACUGCAGAAUCACAGAGAGACGAGACUAACACUGAGACAUGGAACAGGAGUGCUCCAGUGGCCAGGUUAGCAGAAGGAGCCACUACCCAGAGAACUAGAGGAUGGAAGGGAAAAAUUAAGAGACCACAAGCCAAUGAGGCUAACAAAGACCAAAACUGACAUGUCCAAGGUCAGACUAGUUGUUAUGUUAUUUGGACUUGAAACCAGAUCUCCUGCCUGGCUAACGCACAUUCCAGCUUCUUAUGCUUCAUCUAUCUCUACAAAAUAAAAGUUGAAAACAGUAGUUGUUUAAAUUUCACACUUGAACUUUUUGAAUGUCUGUAUGUUCUAAUUAAUAAAAUAAUACCACCACUAUGCUAUGUUUAUUCAGUUCUUUACCAACCAAAAAAUAUGUUUCCAGAUUUCCUAUAAUCCUUGAUGUACAGUGUAAGGGAGCCAGGUAUUAGCACCUCCAUCUUACAGGUAAAAAAACUGCAUAUCCCAGACUUAGUGACUUUGAGAAUCUUAUAUUCCUCAAAGUGCAGUCAGUAAUCCAAUUCUGACCGUCUCUCUCAAAGUUCUGUUUUCCCUCCAUUUACUCUUUCUAGAAGUUUGCACAAACUCUCACUUCAACCAUGGAUGUUUUCCCACUUUUUAAAGAUUUAGUUCUCAAGGAUCUCCUCCUAAAACAGAUGUUACUCUCUGCAGCCAGAGACUCUGCACGUAACUGCAACUCUGGGUGGUGACUGCAUAUUAUCUCAAUGGAUUUCUAGAAGAUAGCUGGAGGAAGGUUUAAUGUGUGUACAAAUCCAACAGAUAAAACACUGUUGAGAACCAGUGUUCAUUGUAUUAUCAGUUUCAGCCUGAUAAUUUGAUAUGACAGGUGUGAGGCACAAGCUACAAGUCUCUCCUUCUUAAAACAAUAAUUGUGAGCCUUUAUUCUACACCAGGAAUAUCAAGGUCAUUGUCUGGAUCAAACCUAAAAGGGAGUUUCCAUCAACAGAUGUCAUAACAGAUAAGCACCAAUUUGACAUGCUCUUGCAGAACUAUCACCUGCUAUCAGAGCUGCUAUGACAGCUGUGUAGUAGUAAGACAAUGUGGGCCAAUUCAUCAGUCCUCUGGGCCCCAAGUGCUCCCCUAAUGGGUAUGACAAACAUAUGCCUGACUGCCACACAAUGGGUGUUUAUUACUGUAGGGUUGUUUGUAUAACGAUCCAAUUAAUCAGUGUUGAUAGUCAUGUAUUUUGUUUCGUUUUGUUUUGGAGAGAAAGCCAGAAUUGCAUGACUCUACUGAAUGCUACACCCUUUACCACAGUAUGAGUAACUUUGAAAAGGAAAAGGGAGACUAUUUUGUGUGCACGUGUACAAGUGCACAAACACACACAAUCCUGCCAAGGUAUAAAUAAUAUACCCAUUUCCUGAGCUUUGAUGUAAUGUUAUCUUCACCAUGCAGAUACAUUUUUUGCCUGGCCAACUCCUACCUACUCUUGAAAGAUUCCAUUUAAGUGCUAUCCCGGGUCUCCAGCUUCCCAAACUUCCAGAGCCUCGGCAGGUAUUUUAAAGACUCAGACUGGAUGGGGAUUAGGGUAGAUUGAUGAGCUCAGAUUAUCUCAUUGUAAUCAACAGUCCCUCCUCAGCCCCAGCUGACUGUUGCCAUAAGGAAACUGCUCUCAGGGUUACCGAGCCUUCAGUGUUUUAAGAGAAGUGGAAGUCUGAAUUUUUAUUUGCCACCCCUAAAUUCCUAAAUGUUCCAACUGCUUUUAUUAGGAUUCCCCUGAAAUUAGAGCUUGAGAUAAAGACUUGCAAGUAAUUCAUUCGGGAAAUGAUUCCAAGGGACAGGAGCAAGGAAAGUAAGGCAUGGAAGGCAUCACAACCAACCAAGUGGGGGGGGGGGGUGCUAGUGACAUCCCAUUGGCCUCAGGGACACACUACAGAAUGGCUCCAAGAAUCUUCCCUGUGGAUGAUGGAAAGCAAGGGCAUUAAUCCUCCAGCCCAGUCCUUUACUGGUUAAGUGCUCCUAUACUUCUCAAUUGUACCUGCCAAAGCACUGAGUGGCUCCCUCAGUUUGAGAGAAAGCCCUGACAAAGACAAGUGUGCCCGAGGUGGGCUGCAGUCAGCAUUCACGGGAUCACAGCUGUGACUGAAAUUAGAUGUAAUGGAGGAGAUGUGACUUUCGGCACCAAAAGCAACAAUCUCAGCAACUAAUAACACUGCUCGUAUAGGGCAGCCCAACAACUAACAAGCACAGGCUUGAUUUGGCUUAUGGAUUCCAUCUGCUCUUCAUCUUGAGGAAUGCCUUCCCUGACUACCUCCCAGAGCAAAGCCCAUUAGAGUGAAGCUCCUCCACCCACCAUAAGGUCAGCAUGCACACCACUGCCCUGCACCCUUCAUGGCUCAUGGCAGUGUCUACUGGUGCCCUCCACUGUGACAGUGAGGAGAGAUGCUGUACCUGUUCAUCAUUCCCCAAAUCUAGUUUAAGAUAGGUGUUCAAUAAAAAUCGAUGGACUGAAUCAGUUCACAGAAAAGGCCCAUUAGUACUUGUGGGACUGAACAAACAAAUACAAUUUAAUUUUUAAUAGAGCUCUCUUAGCUACAAGUAUAACCCAAACCCAAUCAGGAGAAACAGUCCUAAGGUCACUAAGGAACAAAGCAAUCAUUUCUCAACUCCUGCCCCAAAGGGCCUUAUGACUCAAAAACGUUAAUCACUGACAAAGAUGAACUUUGUUUCCUCCACUGCCUCCACUGUUAAAAUUAUAAGAUCUCAUCAUAUAUACUUUUUCAUAUUAAUAAAAAGUUUAGAAAAAAUUACAUUUGCCCCCAGAAAAACAAAAGAAUUAUAAUUCAGUUUUAUCUUUUCCUACUACUGAAGCUGAAUUUUCAUUAUAUGUGACCUAGAAAUUCACUGUCUUUCCUAUAUAAAAUCUGUCUUGAUAUUUGUACCUUUUUCUGAGACUCUCACAGUCUUUCCCUUGAAAGACAUCUGGUCUAGCUGAGACCUGAAGAUGGCAGCCUGAGUGACAGAUCUCCAUAGGGAAGCUUCAGAGAGAUCGAUAUAGGUGGGAGGAUUUGGGAACACUCCAAUAAAAAUAGAGGAUUGUCUUACCAACUGAGUGGGUACUUCAACACAAAUGGUCGAAUUGGAUGAAUAUUUCUAUCCCUCUUUCUACAUGUGGUUUAAACAAAACAGAAAAACUAAAAUACACACUAGACAAAGCCUAAGACACAAUGAAAGUGUGCCCAACACACUUUCAUCCCUGUACACAGGAUAAGGAUAUACAAAAUACAAAAAGGUGCCCUGUGUUACAGACUUGCUAUACUAUUUUUUGCAAUAAUUUAUACUAUAUAUGUAUAUAUAUAGUAUAUACAUUAUAUAUAUAAUUUUUUAAAUAUAAAUAAAAUCUAUAUAAAUGGGUUAUUAGAGAAAAAUAAGUUGGUCAUCUUGGUUAAAAAGGUCAUUUAUAGAACUAGAAAUAGUUGGGUAAAAUUUCUAUGUGAUGACUUUGAAAACAUUUUUUUAAAACCCUCCUUUGGUAACCUAUGUCCAUUAGUUCUUACCUACUAUUUUUACUCUUAUAUCAUCUUUUAAUGAUAAAAGUACCUAAUAUAUUCUGCAAGAUAGAUGAGUAACUCCAUAAGAAAGAUUAACCGAAAGGAGCAAGAGGGUGGAAAAAAUAUGAUGAGUCUUUUAAAUCAACUUCAUUCUAAUCUUCCAAUCUUUAGUCCAUAUUGACCUUCAACAGUUAGAGGAACUAGCCAUGCCACUGCAAGGUGAUAAACAUUACAAACUUUUGGGAGGACUAUGUGGGGCAUGGAGGCUAAUAAGAUAUACAAAACUUAAAAAAAAAAAAAAAAGAGUUACGAUCUUGGAAUAACCUCAGAAACAUGGCUUAAAAAAUCUAGUUGUGCACAUCUUCAAGAAAACAGAGUACUGAGUAAUAACUAAGGGAGCGUGGUACAGACUCAGUCGUGUCAAAAUAAUCUAAUCUUCUCUGAUGAAGUGACUAGCCCAGUAGAUCAAGGGGAAGAAGCAAGAGACAAUUUAUAUUUGGAUUUUAGCAAAGCUUUUGAUUCUGUUCCUCCUGACAUAAUCAUCAAUAACCUGAGAAAAUAGGAUCCACACUGCAUAGCUAUGAAAUGGCAGGAAGGUCAUGCUUGGCAAGGAGCUAUCGAUGGAAAAAGUGUCAGCCUCAGAGAGAGCAUAACAAAUGGGGCUCCAUUUUGGUCAAUUCUGGACAAUGCUCUGGCAGACGAUUUUCAUGAAUGACCUGGGAUGUGGAAUAAUUAGCACCACUAUUAAAUCCACAUAUAAGACCAGACUAGAAGGAAGGGUUGAGGGCAGGGAGAGAAGGAAGAAGGAGGGAGUCGCCAGUCAUUGAGGAAUACAAAAUCGAUUUCAUAAUGACCUCAAAUGCUUGAAAAAGAAGCUGCAAACCUAAUGCCUCUCAGGGAACAAGUACGACGUGUGCUACUC